rnacentral:hammerhead_ribozyme from 1 species
GCGAAACCGCCCCAUGCGGGCGGUCGUCCGGCGGUGGUGCGCCGGACCUGACGAGUAGCC